AACAACUUGCCUAGAACGGCACAGUCAGGAGAGCCGGCCAGUGGGGGAAGACCAGUCCAGCCCCCUCUGCCUCUGAGGCCACCCUCGGGCCUCGGCCUCUCAGAACUAGAGUCUCUGUUUAACUCCAAGCUAUAAAACCAGCCCUCAAGUGUUUUUAACUCUCUAGAUCUUUAUCUGAGAGUAAUAAACAAAGGCCAUUUUCCCAAACAGCAAGGGCUUUGUAUGCCAGCCUGGCCAAAGUCAAGGUCAAGUUUAAUCAGAGUUGUGUGCUCUGCUUUUCUUUGAAAAAUUCUCCCCCUCCCCAACUGUCCUCCCCCCUUAUUAUUAUUUUUUUAAACCAAUUAAGAUCGAUCUCUUUAAUAAACAUCUGGAGAAUACGAGUAGUCCCAGAUGGGAUAUUCCUUGCUGUCCCAGAGAAGAAGGUCCGUGGAAUCUGUUGAAGUCCGACAGACCUCCAGGAAGACACUGCGCUGUGACCAAUCACCCGCACAGGAGCCCAGACUCACGCUGGUGGCACACCCGGCUGGAAACCGCUUCCCGAGACGGAGGCCAGAAGUGUCCCGACUCGGUUGUGUGUUGUGCCUCUUUGGAUCCUUUCCCAGCAGCGAGAAGAGCCUCACACCUCUUCCAGGGACGUAGCAGGGUUUGGACGCUUGGAUGCGUGGGGUCAGCAGACACACGGAGGGUGGUUUUGAAUGCUUUGAAAUGAUUCUGAAACGCCAAAUAUCAGGGAGUAACUGUGCCACCGAAGGUGGAAAUUCUGCAGCGGAGUCAGCUUCACAGCCUGAACACUGGCAUCAUAUCCAUAAGUAGAAAUCAUACUUUGACGGACAGUCGUGCACACAGUCAUGUCUGCGUGUCCUCCACAAACCCGCAGUCGCUGGUGGGAGUGCAAGUCACAGACACGGACAUGUUUCUCCAGGCACGUGGUCACCAUCACUUUUCCCAGGAUGCUCACCACAGUCACUGCGUGAUUGUGACCUCUGCAGACCCUCGCACGGCCACCAGCAUGGAUGCUGUGGGCAUGGGCUGACCGGUGAGGGCCGCCGCCGCUGAACACAAGGACGUGAGACCCAACCAUGAGCACCUCUGGGGCACCGUCCUAAGCUGUGGGAAGACAGCUGACAGCCGGAGGGCCACGGCAUUCAAAGAUCUCAAGUCCUGGGGUCCCUGGCUGGCUCCGCACCACGGCACCACAUGCUCGUCCUGCAGAGAGGACCCGCCGUCUAGAAUGAAGGCAGAGAACCUGCUCUCAUAGCUGGGGCUGCUCCGCACACUUGACCCCAGAGCAGCGGAUGCUGUGGCCGCUGUGACCACUACAAAGGGCAACGCCCUUUCCAGGGGCAAUCGCUUCGGAGGUACGGCCAGUGCACUUCCGACUCGCCACAUACAGGCUCUGUCGGUUUUCUCUGUGGAACAGAUCCAGAAGCGUCCACGGCCGCUCCUUGAGACGGAGGACUGAAAGGCUGGGACCUCUCACCUCUGACACUCCGGUUCGGGGCCACCUCCCACGUGCGGGCUGUGCCUCUUCAGCCUCGCCGGCUGCCUGUGCUCACUUUCCUCGCAGGUUUCACGGCUCCUGGAGACCUCUGUCAGCUCUGAGAAGGACAGUGCUGCAGCGAUGGCCGGAGGAGCCGGACGGUGGUCACCGCUCCCUCUGAGUUGCAGACCCCCGGACGCAUCGCGGGCCACAGCCUUGCGACCCAGCGGUCCCAUUCUGCUCUCGCGUCACCUGAGCUGAGGCGUCUGGAGCGGGAACAUGGCCACGGCACUGGAACACAGGUGCCGGGCUGUGAGCCACUCUGUGACAUCCCUGUGGCCCCAAAUCCAGCCAGCACCGAGAGAGCCAGCCUCAACGCGGAUCCCCCAGCUUCCACGGUGAGCCUCCGGAUGAGACCACAGCCCUGGCGGACAGCUCAGCCGUACCCUCAUGGAAGACCACCGCCCGCAGCUACGCCGCCCGCAGACUCCGAGAACCCAACUCUAUUAGGGCUAUUUGUUACAUGGCAAUAAAUAAUAAUGGUUAAGGUUGCAAGUUUGGGGCCAGCCUGGCUUCCCUCAGAGCCGGGGUCAGCCACCUGCUAGCACGGAGGUUCUGAGAAAGUCACAUACUUUCUCUUUUUCUCCACCUUCCUCCCCCAGGGAACUAAAUGGGUUAAAGAUUAGCUACCAUGUUAAAACUAUUUCCUCGGGGCACCUGGGUGGCCCAGGCGGUUAAGUGCCCGACUUUUGAACUCAGUUCAGGUCUUAACUCAAGAGUCAUGAGUUCAAGCCCUACAUUGGGCUCUGACCUGGGUGUGGAGCCUAUUAAAAACAAAACAGCCCACAAAAGUCUAUUUCCUUAUUGCUACUUAGCCAUCAGCAGGGUGUGAACACGUUUCUGUAUCUUUGCCAAUACCAUGGUUUAGCAGUAAAAACACAUAUCUACCUACAUACCUACCUACUGACCACCUCUUAUCAUAUCAGAGAUGUUGAACUGAUAGACUAGAGAAAAAAAAUCUCACUGUAUGGUUCUCUACACCUGGUACAAGUGUGCCCCCCAAAACAUACAACUCUGGUCAAGAGCAUGCAGACCUGGUAACUCUGAUUUAGUCAUUUCUGUCUGUUUUUCCCCUAUCCAUGCUCAUUUAAAUAUAAAUGAAGUGCUUUCGCAUGAA